rnacentral:lncRNA from 10 species
CUCCGGAGUCUGGGCUAGAGAGGAGGCGAAGAGGGAGAAACAGCGUGUGGACCAGGCGCCUCUGCGGGAACCCGGCAGGACAGAGGCGCGCAGGGGCCAUGGGUGCGAUAAGCGCUCACACGCCUCGCAGGAGCAGGGCGCACACCUGGAGCCCGCUCAGCACCACCCACCCCGAAAGAUGGAAGAUUUAGACAAGCCGGAAGGAACCGUUCACUCAUACCUAGAAAGAGUGAACGAGGAACCAGCCCAGGAAGAAAAGAAAAAGAACAAGGAACCAAAUACACAACAAAAAUGGAAGUCAGAACAACACGUGAUAAAACGUUGUCAUUGAGUAGAUGGAAAUGACGACUUAACGUUAACGCAUUGCGCAUGGUUUAAGAGCCGUUUUGAAAACGGGAGAUGAUGAAAAGGAAGGAAGGAUGAAAAAACAGACUUUCAGGAAAAGGGGGGAAGAUAUAAGAUCAGUGGGGUGCUUACCAUGGAGCCACAAAAAAACAACCAGAACUGCAGACCAGGGAGAUGCCCCACCCAGGCCGGCCCCUCCGAGCCUCCGCGGGGAUACUACGGCCCCGCCGGGACGGAGAGGGCGAGGCCGGGGGAGACUGCGUCCUGCAGCGCCGCGCCGCCACCGCCCAUCUCUCGCCGCGGGGGCCCUGGAUCGGGCAGGUCCCCGGGAACCGGGCAGCUGAGGUCGCCGGGUCAGCUUCCCCGGCCCAGUGCCCAGCGGGAUGAAGACGCCGGGCCCCGGGCAUCCCCAGGUUUGGAAUUAGGAUUAGGCGUUGGAGUUAACCGGACUCCGCGGAGUUCCGGGGACCCGGAGACAGCAUGAGUCUCAGCGCGCAGUCAGCAGAGGCGGUCCUGGCGCCAGGGACCCUGAUGUCUGAGGAAGAAGGUUCACAUCCAACUCUGCCCCUGGUGUGUCACGUGCCGGCCUUGUCAACGCACACGAGAACCUGACAGGGUCCCAUGGAAUUCAGACAAGGAAGUAAAGCAAAUGAGAAUGGCCCACAGGGGAGCAGUUCAAAUGCGCAGAAAAAGAUAGAGCAGCCCCAAUGAGGAAGGAAGGCUGGACAAGAAAUGGAUUUGUAGGGAAGACAAUGUGCACCCAUCGGAGCUCUGAUUGCUUUACUUUCACUACCCUCCCCUGCCCACUAACAUCGAAAAAGUAUCAAUGAUUUGUGAACAUGGCAUAUGGCAUACGAACACCCUGAGAGUAGGAUCGUGGGGCAUCCGAUGGUGAUUGUCCUUAGAGUUGGUGGGGGCCCAGCUUCCCGCUGUCUGUGAACUGCUGCGUGCAGAAUCGGUGUCUUCUUUAACUUCACAACGAUGCCACAAGGCAAAUAGCAUUGUCUUCACUUUCUGUGUAAGAAAACUAAGGCUGGGUGAGAGUAUGCAGAGCUGGAUCAUGGAUUUGUUUGGCUCCUUCUAGUUUGAAAACCUAAGUUAAAAGCUGAGAUCGUGAGGAUUUCCAGGGACUCCUGCCACCAGCUCAUCUCACAUCAUCAUUUACAUGGAAAUGUUGGGACUGAGGUGACCUCAUGCCUCUCAAUUCCCAGCCAGCCUUCUCUCCCUCUGGCUCCUAGCCAGCCUGUUAAACAGAAAAAAUAAGUGAGACAAAUAAAAAACACCCUAGUGUUCUAACAAGUUACACAUAAUUGCUUGCUUACCAAUUGUCUACCUCAGAACUUUGUUUUCCUCUUAGAGUC